rnacentral:rRNA from 1 species
GAUGAACGCUGGCGGCGUGCCUAAUACAUGCAAGUCGAGCGAAGCGGGGACGGGUGAGUAACACGUGGAUAACCUCCUAUAAGACUGGGAUAAUUUGGGGAAACCGGAGCAAAACGGGAAACUUAAGGAGGGACCGUGGCGGAAUUAGCUAGUUGGUAGGGAAACGGCUUACAAAGGAAACGAUGCUUAGCCGACCUGAGAGGGUGAUCGGCCACACUGGAACUGAGACACGGUCCAGACUCCUACGGGAGGCAGCAGUAGGGAAUCUUCCGCAAUGGGCGAAAGCCUGACGGAGCAACGCCGCGUGAGUGAUGAAGGUCUUCGGAUCGUAAAACUCUGUUAUUAGGGAAGCGGUACCUAAUCAGAAAGCCACGGCUAACUACGUGCCAGCAGCCGCGGUAAUUC